UACAGAGGGUGCGAGCGUUAAUCGGAAUUACUGGGCGUAAAGCGUGCGUAGACGGUAGCGUAAGUCAGAUGUGAAAGCCCCGGGCUCAACCUGGGAAUUGCAUUUGAGACUGCUCUGCUCGGGUGCGGAAGAGGGAAGCGGAAUUUCCGGUGUAGCGGUGAAAUGCGUAGAUAUCGGAAGGAACACCAGUGGCGAAAGCGGCUUCCUGGUCCGACACCGACGUUCAGGCACGAAAGCGUGGGAGCAAACAGG
rnacentral:rRNA from 1 species